AAGUAAAAAGUCGUAACAAGGUCUCCGUAGGUGAACCUGCGGAGGGAUCAUUACACAAAUAUGAAGGCGGGCUGGAAUCUCUCGGGGUUACAGCCUUGCUGAAUUAUUCACCCUUGUCUUUUGCGUACUUCUUGUUUCCUUGGUGGGUUCGCCCACCACUAGGACAAACAUAAACCUUUUGUAAUUGCAAUCAGCGUCAGUAACAAAUUAAUAAUUACAACUUUCAACAACGGAUCUCUUGGUUCUGGCAUCGAUGAAGAACGCAGCGAAAUGCGAUAAGUAGUGUGAAUUGCAGAAUUCAGUGAAUCAUCGAAUCUUUGAACGCACAUUGCGCCCUUUGGUAUUCCAAAGGGCAUGCCUGUUCGAGCGUCAUUUGUACCCUCAAGCUUUGCUUGGUGUUGGGCGUCUUGUCUCUAGCUUUGCUGGAGACUCGCCUUAAAGUAAUUGGCAGCCGGCCUACUGGUUUCGGAGCGCAGCACAAGUCGCACUCUCUAUCAGCAAAGGUCUAGCAUCCAUUAAGCCUUUUUUCAACUUUUGACCUCGGAUCAGGUAGGGAUACCCGCUGAACUUAAGCAUAUCAAUAAGCCGGAGGAAAA
rnacentral:rRNA from 1 species